GUCGACUCUUUUAAAGUGUCCUUGAAUUUUUUUGUUGUUUACUACAACAUGAUUGCUAGUAUAUAUAGUAUAUGAUUUAACUUGAAGCUUGUCAGUAUUGGACACUGAAGUAUAUACUACACAAGUUCAAUGACAUCUAGUAACAUAGAAUUCCUGCGGGAAAAGUGGAGUUACUGGUUUGACACACUGGACGUAAAUCACGAUGGAAUUAUUACACAGGCGGAUGUUGACUAUACGCUAAAACAGUUUCCUCUUGUUGAAGGUCUCAGCAAAAAAGAGGGAAAGAUUGCUGAUGAUCAGAUAGAGAAAUGGUGGAAUACAUACAUUCUCAAAGGAAAGAAUGACAUUUCAAAAGAAGAAUUCCUUGAUGACUUCGAGAAAGAAUAUGCAGAAAAUAAAACCAAUUUCAAUGCGACAAUUAAAUCAUUAUGUGAGGACAUGACAGAUAUAAUCGAUGCCGACAAAACCAAAAUGAUUUCUUUAGACAACUAUGUGAAAGCUUUUAAAGCUGUUGGCCUUGACAACGAAACAGUACUCCAGAAAGCAUUUGCGCAUUACAAACCAAGCCAUGGCAUAAUUCCCAUCCAAGAGUAUAUUGAUGACUGGGUUGUAUUCAUUACUAAUGACGAUCCUUCAAAACCCGAUUGUGUGUAUGAUGUGUACAAAAAUGGACUUAUGCAAUAAAUCGUUGAAAAACAAGUACGCUACAUGCCAUAUUCCGAGAUGGAUUGAUUUGGUCCUGCUUGUAAACAUUUGUAAUCUUUUCAUUUUAGCAUUUUAAGACAUUAAAAUGGCUUUGAUUUAA